UGUCGGGGGAAAUGGGGUCGGGGUUAUGGGUGGGCAGGACUGGGGCCCGGUCCCGGCCUGGGUUCUGCCGUGUCAUGGGGCGCCCCAGGAACCCGAGUCUGGCCGGGCCUGGGGAUCUCUUGCCCUCCCUGGCCGCCCGCAGUGAUUCCCCAAGCUAGACGCGCGCCGGGUCCUACCGCUGAGUCACUGCGAGGUCCUGACUGGGUGCGGAAGUGAGAAGCUCCGCUUCGUGCUUGAGGAAGAAGGCUCGGGGGCCGGGACUCUGACCUUUAACCCGGAGAAGUCCAGGGGUCACCCCCUCCCCCGUUCAUCAUUUCGUGAGGACUCCCCUUUCUAGGGAAACAACCUCGUUUUCCGUUUCUUAGUCGUGGAAAUAGAGCAGCCUUUUCUUUGAGAUGUAGGAGGGCAUGCUGGGAUGUAUACUUUCUGCGAAAGCGCUAAGGCGUUCUCAGGAAUGCACAGAUAAGAGUGUGGAGUCUGGUUUUAUAGGAACUAGAAUUUAGAGUGGUUCUCAAGAGUUUCCUCAUCACGCUGAUUCCACUAGACCUAGGCUUUUCUGACUCUUUAAGAAGCUUGAAGCAAGUUAGUUUGUGUGUGUUAAGGCCAGAUCUGUUUUUCGAAAUUAAGGUUGUGAGAUUGUUGUAUUUAUUUAAAAAAAAAAAAACAACACUUCUCAGGGUUUGGAAAUGCUGAGUAAUAUUGAAUUGUACAUAUUUAUGCUGUAGACAUUUUUACUUUCAGUUUCUGCUUUGGUCAGUUAGGUUUUCACAUAACUAUGAAAGUUUUGUGUUUAUUUUUUAAGCCGGGAAAGGCAGAUUUUUCUUUCCUACGAGGUCCUUAGAAGCUCCAUUUUUUGUUAGAGUAUAUGUUGACCUUGUCAAAAGUUUUUAUCACCUGGAACUACCACUUUUUUAUCCUUUUACUGACUCAGAAUAUAUAUGUGAAGUUUUAAAACUGACAGCUUUUCCUACUGUCCUAUAAAAUGACUGUUAGUAUUUAUCUUCCCCAGCAUUAAAAAGAAUCAUCUUUGGGUGAUAGAAUUUUGAGUUGGGGUGUGUAUGAUAGAAAUUGUUAUUAUCAGAAAGCCUUUAUUAAGGUUUUGUGAUCCUUAGCUUUCUCAACGAUUGCUUUGUGUUACUCAUUUUUGUAUCUUCCCAAGAAUGCCUAAAAUACAGCUUUUUAAAAUUCACUUAGCUAAUAUACUUGAAUGCUUGCUGUGUACAAGGCACUGUUCUAGUUGCUGGCCAUACAGCAGUGAACAAUAUCAAGAUCCUUGCUCUCAUAUGGGAGACUGUCUUUUAAAGAACUAUUUACAAAAAUAACUGUAGUGUGAGUCAGAGUGUAUUCAUGUCAUUAGAGAAAUUCAAAUCAAGUACUAUAGAAGUUUUGUUGAGAGAGAUUGCACUCAAUAUUAGGGGAUCAUUGAAAACUUUGAAAAAGAACUGGUAUUUACCCUGAGUCUUGAGAAAGAGUAAGAUUUUAAUAAAUAUGGACUGUGAGAGUCAGUAGUUUUGAGGCCAAGAAUAUAGGAUGCACAAAGGAGGGACAAUGGGAAAGCACAGUGAAUGUUUGGGAAAAUUCUGUUCUGUAUGGCACAUGUGAUGCAUGUAUGGGAAUGGUGAA